rnacentral:rRNA from 1 species
CAAGUCGAACGAUGAAAGUGGGAGCUUGCUCCUGCCGGAUUAGUGGCGAACGGGUGAGCAACACGUGAGCAAUCUGCCCUUGACUCUGGGAUAACUCCGAGAAAUCGGUGCUAAUACCGGAUAUGACCCCUGGCGGCAUCGCUGGGGGUGGAAAGUUUUUCGGUCAAGGAUGAGCUCGCGGCCUAUCAGCUUGUUGGUGAGGUAAUGGCUCACCAAGGCGACGACGGGUAGCCGGCCUGAGAGGGUGACCGGCCACACUGGGACUGAGACACGGCCCAGACUCCUACGGGAGGCAGCAGUGGGGAAUAUUGCACAAUGGGCGAAAGCCUGAUGCAGCAACGCCGCGUGGGGGACGACGGCCUUCGGGUUGUAAACCUCUUUUAGCAGGGAAGAAGCGAAAGUGACGGUACCUGCAGAAAAAGCACCGGCUAACUACGUGCCAGCAGCCGCGGUAAUACGUAGGGUGCAAGCGUUGUCCGGAAUUAUUGGGCGUAAAGAGCUCGUAGGCGGUUGGUCGCGUCUGCUGUGAAAACCCGAGGCUCAACCUCGGGCCUGCAGUGGGUACGGGCCAACUAGAGUGCGGUAGGGGAGAUCGGAAUUCCUGGUGUAGCGGUGGAAUGCGCAGAUAUCAGGAGGAACACCAAUGGCGAAGGCAGAUCUCUGGGCCGUAACUGACGCUGAGGAGCGAAAGCGUGGGGAGCGAACAGGAUUAGAUACCCUGGUAGUCCACGCCGUAAACGGUGGGAACUAGUUGUAGGGGCCAUUCCACGGCUUCUGUGACGAAGCUAACGCAUUAAGUUCCCCGCCUGGGGAGUACGGCCGCAAGGCUAAAACUCAAAGGAAUUGACGG